rnacentral:rRNA from 1 species
GGUAGCGAAAUUCCUUGUCGGGUAAGUUCCGACCUGCACGAAUGGCGUAACGAUGGCCACACUGUCUCCUCCUGAGACUCAGCGAAGUUGAAAUGGUUGUGAAGAUGCAAUCUCCCCGCGGUUAGACGGAAAGACCCCAUGAACCUUUACUGUAGCUUUGCAUUGGACUUUUGAACCGACUUGUGUAGGAUAGGUGGGAGGCAGUGAAGCCGGGACGCUAGUUCUGGUGGAGCCAACCUUGAAAUACCACCCUGGUUUGUUUGAGGUUCUAACCACGGCCCGUGAAUCCGGGUCUGGGACCGUGCAUGGUAGGCAGUUUGACUGGGGCGGUCUCCUCCUAAAGUGUAACGGAGGAGUACGAAGGUACGCUAGGUACGGUCGGACAUCGUGCUAAUAGUGCAAUGGCAAAAGCGUGCUUGACUGCGAGACCCACACGUCGAGCAGGUACGAAAGUAGGUCAUAGUGAUCCGGUGGUUCUGUAUGGAAGGGCCAUCGCUCAACGGAU